rnacentral:rRNA from 1 species
AUUGAACGCUGGCGGCAGGCCUAACACAUGCAAGUCGAACGAGUGGCGGACGGGUGAGUAAUGUCUGGGAAACUGCCUGAUGGAGGGGGAUAACUACUGGAAACGGUAGCUAAUACCGCAUACCAUCGGAUGUGCCCAGAUGGGAUUAGCUUGUAGGUGAGGUAACGGCUCACCUAGGCGACGAUCCCUAGCUGGUCUGAGAGGAGGACCAGGAAGACGGGAACGGAGACACGGUCCAGACUCCUACGGGAGGCAGCAGUGGGGAAUAUUGCACAAUGGGCGCAAGGCUGAUGAAGCCAUGCCGCGUGUAUGAAGAAGGCCUUAGGGUUGUAAAGUACUUUCAGCGGGGAGGCGUUACCCGCAGAAGAAGCACCGGCUAACUCCGUGCCAGCCGCCGCGGUAAUAC